rnacentral:tRNA from 1 species
GCGGGCGUAGUUCAGUGGUAGAACAUCAGCUUCCCAAGCUGAAUAUGAGGGUUCGAUUCCCUUCGCCCGCU